UGUAGUGAUAUGCUCGUCUUAAAGCUUAAGCCAUGCACGUCUAAGUGCAGACAAACAAACAAAAGUGAAACCGCAAAUGGCUCAUUAUAACGGUUAAUAUUUACUAGGCCGAAUACCCGUAAUGGAUAACUUUGGCAAUUCUAUAGCUAAUACAUGGUCGAGAAGCCCCUUACCUUCACAGGUUCGGGGCGUUCUUAUUUGAAAAAAACCUGACGGUUCCGGGUUCGCUCGCGAACCGUCUCCAAUAGUUGACACGAAAUAACAGACUGAUCGCAAAGUCUCGCACUAGCGACAGCCUAUUCAAAUGACUGAUCUAUCAACUAAGGAUGGUAAGACAUGUGCUUACGAUGGUCCUUACGGGUAACGGGGAAUCAGGGUUCGAUUCCGGAGAGGGAGCCUGAGAAACGGCUACCACAUCCAAGGAAGGCAGCAGGCGCGCAAAUUACCCACUCCCGGUACGGGGAGGUAGUGACGAUAAAUAACGAUACGGGACUCAUCCGAGGCCCCGUAAUUGGAAUGAGAACAGUCCAAAUAAUUUAACGAGGACCUAUUGGAGGGUAAGUCUGGUGCCAGCAGCCGCGGUAAUUCCAGCUCCAAUGGCGUAUAUUAAAAUUGCUGCGUUUAAAAAGCUCGUAGUCGAACUUGUGUCCCGCGCCGCUGGUACAUCGCUCGCGGUGUUAACUGGUGUGCUGCAGGACGUCCGGCCGGUGGGUGCGGUCCGCUUUCGGGCGGGCGGCCCAAACGUCCCGGCUCGCUUGCUCUUCACCGAGUGACGAGUCGGGCCGGCACGGUUACUUUGAACAAAUUAGAGUGCUUAAAGCAGGCUUCGUGCCUAUAUAUUGAUGUAUGGAAUAACAUAAUAAGGACCUCGGUUCUAUUUUGACGGUUUAUAGAGACCGAGGUAAUGAUUGACGGGGAACGGUUGGGGGCAUCCGUAUUGCGGCGCUAGAGGUGAAAUUCUUGGACCGUCGCAAGACGUACAAAAGCGAAAGCAUUUGCCAAAUAUGUUUUCAUUGAUCAAGAACGAAAGUUAGAGGUUCGAAGGCGAUCAGAUACCGCCCUAGUUCUGACCAUAAACGAUGUCGACUGGCGAUCCGCCGCGGUUCCUCCGAUGACCCGGCGGGCAGCCCCCGGGAAACCAAAGCUUGUGGGUUCCGGGGGAAGUAUGGUUGCAAAGCUGAAACUUAAAGGAAUUGACGGAAGGGCACCACCAGGAGUGGAGCCUGCGGCUUAAUUUGACUCAACACGCGAAACCUCACCAGGCCCGGACACUAUAAGGAUUGACAGAUCGAGAGCUCUUUCUUGAUUUAGUGGGUGGUGGUGCAUGGCCGUUCUUAGUUGGUGGAGUGAUUUGUCUGGUUAAUUCCGAUAACGAGCGAGACUCUGUCUUAUUAAAUAGACGUACUGGCAUACACGAGGUCCGCAUCGCGGCCGGCUUACGGGUCGUGCCGUCGAUCGCGCGAUUCUUGCUGCCGGCGUUACAUAAAUUCUUCUUAGAGGGACAAGUUGUGCAUAGUAGCACGAAAAAGAGCAAUAACAGGUCUGUGAUGCCCUUAGAUGUUCUGGGCCGCACGCGCGCUACACUGAAGAAGACAACGUGUCGUCCCUGACCGAAAGGUCCGGGUAAUCCGUUGAACCUUCUUCGUGCUAGGGAUUGGGGCUUGCAAUUGCACCCCAUGAACGAGGAAUUCCCAGUAAGUGCGGAUCAUAAGUUCGCUUUGAUUACGUCCCUGCCCUUUGUACACACCGCCCGUCGCUACUACCGAUUGAGUGAAUUAGUGAGGUCUUCGGACCGGCUCCCGGCGACGUCUCGACGUCACACCGGCGUUAGCUUAGGGAAGAUGACCGAACUUGUUCACUUAGAGGAAGUAAAA
rnacentral:rRNA from 1 species